AGUGAACGCUGGCGGUAGGCCUAACACAUGCAAGUCGAACGGCAGCACAGUAAGAGCUUGCUCUUACGGGUGGCGAGUGGCGGACGGGUGAGGAAUACAUCGGAAUCUACUUUUUCGUGGGGGAUAACGUAGGGAAACUUACGCUAAUACCGCAUACGACCUACGGGUGAAAGCAGGGGAUCUUCGGACCUUGCGCGAUUGAAUGAGCCGAUGUCGGAUUAGCUAGUUGGCGGGGUAAAGGCCCACCAAGGCGACGAACCGUAGCUGGUCUGAGAGGAUGAUCACCCACACUGGAUCUGCGACACGGUCCAGACUCCUACGGUAGGCAGCAGUGUGGAAUAUUGGACCAUGGGCGCAAGCCUGAUCCCUCCAUACCGCUUGGGUCAAGAAGGCCUUCGUGCUGUAAAGCCCUUUUGUUGGGAAAAAAAAGCAGCAGGUUAAACCCCCGCUGUUCUGACGGUACCCAAAGAAUAAGCACCGGCUAACUUCGUG
rnacentral:rRNA from 1 species